UACGUAGGGGGCAAGCGUUGUCCGGAUUUAUUGGGCGUAAAGAGCGUGUAGGCGGUUUGGUAGGUCCGCUGUGAAAACUCGAGCUCAACCUCGAGACGCCGGUGGAAACCAUCAGACUAGAGUCCGGAAGAGGAGAGUGGAAGUUCCUGGUGUAGCGGUGAAAUGACGCAGAGUAUCAGGAGGAACACCGAUGGCGAAGGCAGGUCUCUGGGCAUUAACUGACGCUGAGGAGCGAAAGCAUGGGGAGCGAACAGG
rnacentral:rRNA from 1 species